rnacentral:rRNA from 1 species
GUCGUAACAAGGUUUCCGUAGUGAACCUGCGAAGGAUCAUUG